UACGGGGGGGGCAAGCGUUGUUCGGAAUUACUGGGCGUAAAGGGUUCGUAGGUGGCUCGCUAAGUCAGUCGUGAAAUCCCUCAGCUUAACUGGGGAACUGCGUCUGAGACUGGCAAGCUCGAGUGCAGGAGAGGAACGCGGAAUUCCAGGUGUAGCGGUGAAAUGCGUAGAUAUCUGGAGGAACACCGGUGGCGAAGGCGGCGUUCUGGACUGCAACUGACACUGAUGAGCGAAAGCCAGGGGAGCAAACGGG
rnacentral:rRNA from 1 species